rnacentral:rRNA from 1 species
AUUGAACGCUGGCGGCAGGCUUAACACAUGCAAGUCGAGCGGGGAAGGUUGCUUCGGUAACUGACCUAGCGGCGGACGGGUGAGUAAUGCUUAGGAAUCUGCCUAUUAGUGGGGGACAACAUUCCGAAAGGGAUGCUAAUACCGCAUACGUCCUACGAGAGAAAGCAGGGGAGCAUUUGACCUUGCGCUAAUAGAUGAGCCUAAGUCGGAUUAGUUAGUUGGUAGGGUAAAGGCCUACCAAGGCGACGAUCUGUAGCGGGUCUGAGAGGAUGAUCCGCCACACUGGGACUGAGACACGGCCCAGACUCCUACGGGAGGCAGCAGUGGGGAAUAUUGGACAAUGGGGGGAACCCUGAUCCAGCCAUGCCGCGUGUGUGAAGAAGGCCUUUUGGUUGUAAAGCACUUUAAGCGAGGAGGAGGCUCUCUUGGUUAAUACCUGAGAAGAGUGGACGUUACUCGCAGAAUAAGCACCGGCUAACUCUGUGCCAGCCGCCGCCGUAA